rnacentral:rRNA from 1 species
UACGUAGGGUGCAAGCGUUGUCCGGAAUUAUUGGGCGUAAAGAGCUCGUAGGCGGUCUGUCGCGUCGGCUGUGAAAACCUGGGGCUCAACUCCGGGCCUGCAGCCGAUACGGGCAGACUAGAAUUCGGUAGGGGAGACUGGAAUUCCUGGUGUAGCGGUGAAAUGCGCAGAUAUCGGGAAGAACACCCGUGGCGAAGGCGGUUCUCUGGGACGGUACUGACGCUGAGACGCGAAAGCGUGGGGAGCGAACAGG